rnacentral:tRNA from 1 species
GGGCGAUUAGCUCAGCUGGUUAGAGUGCACGGUUCACAUCCGUGAGGUCACUGGUUCGAAUCCAGUAUCGCCCACCA